CUAGGGGAAGACGGCGGGCUGUCUGCGUGCCCCUCACAAGGCCAGGAGCCCCGCACGCACGACCCUGCCUACGACGCAGAGUGACCCUGCAAAGCAGGCGGAGCUGGUCCCCAUGAGUGGGACACAGGUGGAGUCAGCAGUGUGAAGCUUCCUGGCUGGCACACGUACCCAUUGUACAGAUGAGAAAGCUGAGGCUCAGAAAGGAGAACUGUUUCCCCCUGAGGCACACACAGACCCACCCUGCUGCUCGUCACUGGUGACCGUGGGCGCGGCCUGACGCCUCCCAGAGCCUCGGCACCGCCGAACACCUGAGGUGGACUCGCAAGGCCCAGUGGUGGCACCCUCGCGCCCGCUCCCCUCCACGUGGCCGGUUACGGCUGCUGAUGGCUUCCGUGUGGAGACCCGCUUUCACUCUCCUGCACUCCCUCCUCUUUCCCUGCGAGCGCCUGCCUCGGGGCACCGGGCCCCUGGCGACCAAAGCAGAGGCUCCCUGGUCCGCUGGGACGUGCCCACGCCUCCCUGUGUGGCUCUUCCUCCUCCGGCAGCGGCUCCUGGGGACGGAAGCGGCCAGAAGGGAAAUGAGGGGGCAGACGCAGCCCCCAGGGAGGGUCUGCGGCUGGGGACCCCACAGACCCAGGCUCAGAUCUUGCAGCCGCCACUCAUCCUCCAGUAGCGGCCAGAGCACCGGUGCCACUCGUCCCCCUUGUCGGCUGGCGCCACCAGCUGUCCCGCAGGAGCGCGAGGGACGGGGGAGACGUCCCCAGCCCUGCAGCCCCCGGCGAGUCCCUGGCUCCCCCUUUGUCCAAGGCCUCGGAAGACCACAGCCAGGCCCGGAGGAGAGCGAGUUCCUGCGGCCGGGUCCUAACUCAGGGGAGAGGAGCUUGUCACUCAGGAAGGGGGGGGGGGGCGGGCACUACCUUGAACCUAAACUCUCCCAGGGCUUGCCGCCUGGGUCCUUUGGAUCAGAAACCUUCUCUGACGGCUUCAGGUGAAAAGGGGUGCGUUGCACUGUUACUGAGAUGUUCCCUGUGGUUAUAAAUUUGUUUUUCAAACUCGGGAAACCCAGUGAAAUGAACUUGAAAGAAUACUUGCUGGCUCCUGUCUCUGAGAGGUCUGGCAGCUGCGUGGGUGUCAGGUGAAGUGUGAUCCAGCCACCUGACGUCCUCAAGGGUCCCAGGGUCCACAGCACCUUCCCCCUCCCCCCCAGGUCUGCGUGCUGCGCCUGCAGAUGGCCACCUAACCCCAGCACACCGUUCAGCCCAGCAUCUGCACCAGCUGGAAUGUUCUCUGUCUCCUGAUUUCCGCCCUCCGGGGAAGGGAGUCUGGUAUCUGGGACCGUCCUGUGCUGAGACCCGAGGGCAUGCAGGUGUGGCCGGCUGUGGGCUGUGGAUGGUCCUGCUGGCUCCAGCGUCUAGAACUAGCCCAGGGCCAGGCACCUGCGCCGGCUCAGUGGAGGCGGGAUGUCUGAGAAGCGGCUGUGGGCAGAUCGGAGACCCCAGAACCUUCCUUGCAAAGUUGGGACUCGGCCACUAAGUCCUCCCUGGCCUAGAGACCCCCGACAAGGCCGUUUUUUGUUCUUAAUUUGUCAUUUUAGGAAAACGUGGAGAUCAGUUCUGGUCAGAAUUCUUAUGCCUGGAUAUUUCUUGUUCGCUCAGGAGGAGAAAUUCAGACGUGGGCUCAGGAAGUGGCUGUGAGCCC